CCUACGGGUGGCAGCAGUGAGGAAUAUUGGUCAAUGGACGAGAGUCUGAACCAGCCAAGUCGCGUGAAGGAUGACUGCCCUACGGAUUGUAAACUUCUUUUAUAUGGGAAUAAAAUGUUCCACGUGUGCCUUUUUGUAUGUACCUUAUGAAUAAGGAUCGGCUAACUCCGUGCCAGCAGCCGCGGUAAUACGGAGGAUGCGAGCGUUAUCCGGAUUUAUUGGGUUUAAAGGGAGCGUAGGUGGGUUGUUAAGUCAGGUGUGAAAGGUUGCGGCUCAACCGUAAAAUUGCAGUUGAAACUGGCAGUCUGGAGUACAGUAGAGGUAGGCGGAAUUCGUGGUGUAGCGGUGAAAGGCUUAGAUAUCACGAAGAACUCCGAUUGCGAAGGCAGCUCACUGGACUGAAACUGACACUGAGGCUCGAAAGUGUGGGUAUCAAACAGGAUUAGAUACCCGGGUAGUC
rnacentral:rRNA from 1 species